CUAAAACCUGCAGGACACCGGCCCUCCAGGCGUUGCUAUGGCAGGAACGCCUCUUUGUUCCAGAGUAUGAAGUGUGGGCUUUGUGUCAGCAAAUUCAGUGAAUAUUUGUUGCAUCGUUUGCAUCGUUCUGCUCGGAGCUGGAGCUGCUUCACUCGAUCGACUCUCCUUUGCUAAAUGUCGCUGCAGGAGGAUGACGGACUUGGAGUUCUGAAGCGAGGAACCUGCGCUCUGUGCGCCAACCAUCCGCCCCAACCUCCUCAUCAACAAACAAACUUUAUUUUCUAAAAGUGACCUGCAGGACCCACGAGGCAGUCCAUCUGUGUUCUCACAUGGACUCGCCAAUAUGUACAUCCAGGAGAGAAUAUAAUUGGUUUAGAAGCUCUUCGAGCUUGUAGGAU
ensembl:lncRNA